GCGCCUGUAGCUCAAUCGGAUAGAGCAUCAGCCUUCUAAGCUGAGGGUUGCAGGUUCGAGUCCUGCCGGGCGCGCCA
rnacentral:tRNA from 1 species